rnacentral:lncRNA from 1 species
GUUCCUCAAAAAAUUAAAAAUAAAACCACCAUGUAAUUCAGCCAUUCAAUUUCUGGGUAUUUAUUCAAAAGAAUUGAAAACAGUAUCUCAAAGAGACAUAUACACUCCCUUAUUCAUUGCAGCAUUGUUCAUAUUAGCCAAGAGACACAAACCAGCUAAAUGUUCAUUGAUGGAUAAGGAAUAUGUAUAUACAUACAGUGAAAUAUUAUUAAUCCUUUAAAAGGAAGGCUGUUCAAAAAGAAGAAUAUUGUCAUAUUCUAGAAAACAAAUGAACCUUGAGGACAUUAUGCUAAAUGAAAUUAGUCACAGAAGGACAAGUACUACAUGAUUCCACAGACAAGUACUACAUGAUUCCACUUAUACGAAGUAUUUAAAGAAUUCAAAGUCUUAGAAGCAUAAAGGAGAAUGGUAGUUGCCAGGGACUGUGGAAGGGGAAAUGAGGAGUUACUCUUCAAUGGGUGUUCAGUUUCAGUCCUGGAAGAUGAAAAAGUUACAGAGAUUGGCUCUACAAUAAUGUGCAUACAGUUAACAAUACUGUACCAUACAUUAAAAUUUGCUUAACAAGGAUAUACCUGCAUUUGUAUUAACCAUGACCAUCUUUCUAAAACAAUCCCAAGGCAGAAGAGAAAUGAGAAGGCUGAAUUUAAAGAAAGAAACUCUAUCAAAUUUGAACCCAUUUUAAAAGUCAUUUCCUUCUUAUAACAUUUAAUAUUAUAAUUUCAUAGGCACCUGUCUUAAUAUUUCUUUGCAAGGAAAUUUUAUAAGGUGAGACUGCUCAAAUUUGAAAAAAAAAAUUUAGGGCAAAGUCCAGUUCAUCAGUAAAUGUGAUACUUAAAGUUAAAAGAUAACAAUGCACAAAAAUGGGUAAUUGCCAUCUGUCUCAUAAAAACACAGAAGCCUACGCAAUGCCAACCAAUAUGUUCUGUCAAAAAAGUUGACUUAAAAUAUGUUCUGCUAACACUAAAAUGGCAAUAAGCAACUUGAAGGGAAACGUAUACUUGACCAAAUUGUCCCCUACAGCUCAUAAACACCUCUGUCUGUGCCCUUGGAGUUUAUCAGGGCUGUGGGAGACAUUUAUUGACGUUUACUUGAUCUCCUAUUGCCAAAACACACCAAGGUUAACACAGUUACUCAAUACAUUUGAUGCAGCCAGGAAAAUGCUUGACUGAAAAAUGUGGGCAAUUUAACAAAGCAAGCAGCAACUGCCUACAGGAAGCUCUACAACCACAAUUAUUUCAAAAUGUCACAGUUAACCCAGUGCCAUGACAGCUGCACUCGAACACUGGUUGUUAAACAUUUACUGACACACCAUUGCCACCACCCCAUCCUCAAUUGCCCUUCUUUCACCUUACACCCAUCAUAUAAUGCUUUGAUCUUGAGUAUAAGAUCUUUGAAGUGCAAGAAAAAAAGGACAAUUGAAAUAUUGGUGUCAACUUUUAAGAUGUUAAAUGAAGAUACCAUAAACCUCAGUAGUGUCUUUUGCCUCUUUCCUUGUCUUUUGCAAAACUUCAUGUUAGAGUGUUCUAUAUUCAGCCAUAUUAAAGAGUAGUGAAGCUAAUUAAAUAUUUUCAUUUAAUGACCUCGCCUCCCCUAUCCCUUUGCUGUUGUCAAAAAAUGAAGACCUCUUGAUGUUGAGUUUUAUGCUAGUAAAGAAAUUAUUAUCAGGUCACUGGAUGGAAAAUUACUGAGAGGAAAUAUCACGGACAGCGGGUGUCUCAAGGGGAAUCAAGAGCAAGAGCAUGUGCACUUAUUCAGUACAGUAAAGCACACUUUCCAGAGGAAGGAAUAAAGAAAGAGCUGAGCUAUAUGUGCUCUGAAUGAACUCAACAGUCACUCCUGAGAAGACGUAAGGAAGGGUGGAAAGAGGCCAGCAGUAACACUCAUAGAAAAAAACAGAAAACAAAAUUAGUAGUGAAGAAGACUCCCCCAUUUUAAAAUAAUAUUCAACAGAAGUUAGCUAUUACCUUCAUUUCCUAAUAUUUUUUCAUAAAAUUAUUCUAAAUUUUAACAACUUUAUUUGCUGGUGGUUUGUUCUGUUUAUCUGACUCAUUUGUUUAUUGAAGGCAAAGAUCAUAUCCAUCUUACUCAUUAUUUCCAAAAACUUUGACAGGAAUUUUAGUCCUAUGCCUAGCACAUAGUAAACCCUCAAAACAGAAAAAAGUGGGAGACACAAUAAGCAUUGAGGUGGAGGUAUGGGGGGGAACUCAAGAGCUUUGGAUAUGGUUUUAGUGCUUUGGUGCUUCUAUAACAAAAUACCUUAGACUGGGUAAUUUAUAAACAACAGAAAUUUAUUGCUCUUAGUUCUGGAGUCUGGGAAGGCCAAGAUCAAGUCACCAAUAAAUUCAGUGUCUGGUGAGGUCUUGCUCUUGGCAUCAAAGAUGGCCUACUAGCUGGGUUCUCACGUGGCAGAAGGAAAAAACAAGCUUCUUUGGGUCUCUUUUAUAAGGGCACUAAUCCCAUUCAUGAGGGUAGAACCAAAGGCCUAAUUAUCUCCCAAAAGCCUCACCAUCUCCCAGAGGCCUCACCACUUAAUAACAACACAGAUUAGGUUUUAAUGUAUCAAUUUUUAAAGGACACAAACAUUCAGAAUAUAAUAUAUGUUAAAUUUAAAAUACCUGGAACACAUGAUGUAAAGACGUAAAACAGACAAUCAAGGUGAGCUUUGAAACCAGGUAAAAGAGUUAGACUGGAGUUAUAAAUUCAAAUGUCAUCAACAUAGAGAUGGGAUUUUCUUGGCAAAUUAUACACAGACCUAGUAUAAUCUUGAGGAACUGUAUUAUGUUUAUGUUAUAUGCAGAAUGAACAAAAGAAAAUGGGGGAUGUGUAAUUAGAAAGGUAGUAGAAAAAUCAGGAUAGUGCAACGCAGAGAAAACCAAGAAAGGGAGGGCAAACUCUAAAUUGGAUGAUGCCAGUAGCUGUGCUGAGUGCUCCUAAGAGGGAAAAUAGGAUGAAAACAUAACAAAAAUCAUUUGAUUUAGCAAUAUGGAGGUAACUGGGAGGGCAGUUAGGGGCUUAUAUGUGAAUAUAUUUCGAUGAUUUGAAAAUAUGAUUUGGCAGAUUGGCUUUUGUGAACCUGUGGUAAGUAGGCAGAAAAGAAUAAAGAAAAAUGAAUCUGAUUAUUAAAUUACCCAAAACUAUCUUUGCCUUGUGCCAUAAACCAAAUUUCUGUAUCCUCUCAAAAUUCAUAGGUUGAAACUUAAUCCCAAAUGUGAUGGUAUUUUAAAGUAGAACCUUUGAGAGACAAUUAUGCCAUAAGGGCAGAGCCCUUAUGAAUAGGGUUAGUGCCCUUAUUAAAGGGACCACAGAGAGAUCCCUUGCUCCUUCAGUCAUGUGACGACACAGUGAGAAGACAGACAUCUGUGAACAGGAAACAAGCCCUCACCAGAUACCAAAGGUGAUGGUGCCUUGAUCUUGGGUUUCCCAGAUUUUACAACUCCAAAAAACAAGUGUCUGUUGUUUAUAAACCAUCCAGAUUAUGGUAUUUUUAUAGCAGCCUAAACAGACACACCUCAUGUUAACGUUUUUGAGAUUUAUUAAAAUUCACCUAGAAUUGUAACUAGAAUUUUAUUUGCAGUUCUGUUCUUAAUUUUUGAGGAAAGAGCCACAAUCAUCCCUAAACACCAGAACAUGGUUCAUCACAAAGAAUAAAGACAAUUUAUGAAACUAGUUGUAACUAGAGGUUACAAAGUUUAAUUCUAGGGCUAUGUGAUUACAAAGACCUCGUAGAUUUUGUGAGUACUAACAACUAUAUUAGAUAUAGAAGUUCAGAUAAUAAGAAUAAUCAAAGUUAAUGCUUCAGAAUAUAAACUUAUUGCCUGCAAGGCUGAAGAAGGAAUUUUGUCUGUUUCCUGCAUUAAGUAUAGCACUAUAUACUUGGAUAGCCACAUCAGAAGGGUUGAACAAAGAGGCAACAAGGUUCACAGUAUCUGAAAUGUGAGGUUUGGUCAUUGCAGGAAUCAAGAUGCUGAACCAUCUGUUAUAAAAGAGUUAUGAUUUCCAAUAUGAGAAUGAAUGUGUUGAAAUAUGCAGCACUAAAUCUCCAAAGAAAACAUACAGCAUUGCACAAUCACUAUAAAAAAUUUUCACAUUAAUAAGUAAAAUUUUUAAAGCAACAUGAAUAUUGGCAAUCAAUAAUCCCUUUCCAUUAUAUGGUUGUCUCUUAGCUGCAAAUGUGCAGCAAGAUUAUGAUUGAUUAGUUUUAGGUAAACAUUGAGAUUCUAUGUCAACAUAAAAGUAACUGAGUAAAUUAAAUUAAAAGAAAUAAAAACAAAAAUUGAAUUUCUUACAUCUCUACACAGGUACUUGAAAUGAACAUAGUUUUUUUAAUCUAAAAUUCUUAUUUCUUUUCUGAGUAAUUACAUUAAAGACAAGAUAGAUUAUAAAGACAUUAAUCACUGCCCUAAAUCCUAUUAUUAUGGCUGUUGUUUGAAGGUUAUAUAAAAUAUUUACUAGUAACUUUUUAUUAGACUGUCAAUAUUCAGCGUUUCUCACCACUGCAUCACUUUAACCUAUCUAUUUUCCCAACGUGAAAAACACAUUUGCAUGUGUGUACAUAUUCCUGACCUUUAGUGAAAUGAAAAGAGACUGAUCGAAUACCUGAGGUAUUAGAGCUGCCGUUUCAGCCAACCAAUUAGUGAAGCAGUGCCUUCCAUUUGCAAGGCCAAAAAUGAAAUCCUAUUGACCCGGCGUAGGUGUAAAAACAGACUAUAGUAGUUUGAUGUGUAUAAAUUAGGAAUGCACUUUGACAUGCAAAGAGAAACAUGAAUAACAAUUUUACUUGACUGACAAAUUAACAAUCACCAUAGCAAUCUUGAAAUAUAAAAGAAUAAUAUAAAACAUAUGAAGAGGGACAUAUUUCCUUUUGUCUUCCUCCUAUCUGCUUAGCUCAUUUCUUAAGCAAAUAACUAUCAUUUGAAAUGAUAAUAAAUCAAAGGGUUUGUGAGAGGUGAUAUAUUAAACAAUUGUAAUUUAAAUAUACUUGUUGAACUAUUUUCUAUUAACAGUCUAUAUGCAGGAUUUAACACUGAAUCAUGCAUAUAAAGAACAUGCUUGCUUUCUUUUUCAAAAAUUUUCUCAACAGAAAUUAUGAAGUGUGUGUGAUUAUAUGAAUUCCUGGCAGGACAAAGUUCCAAAGUUGGGUAGAAAACCAAUACUUUCUAACUCAAAAGUUGAAUGCACUGAAUGUGAAGACAUCAAAUGGCUUUAAGUGAAUAGCAAAGAAAUAAAUACUACAAAUUUUAUAAUCCAUUAUAACAAUUACUUAUAAAACUUUCAUAUGCCCAACGUUGUAUUUACUAGAAAUGAUGGAAAGUAAAAAUUUUAACGAAUGAUUAAAUAUUCAAUGAAAAUUAAAUCAUGAAACCAUAGUUUAUGUGUGUUUGGGGAGGAGGGAGAGAGAUUAUUACUCUAAUGUAUUAAGAAAUAUGUAAUAAAAAAGAGAGAGGUCGGUGUAAGAUCUGACGAAAGUAUUGGUAAACUAGGAGUUAAGAAAAUGAGUUCAAAUCUAACCUUUAGCACAGAUCCCUAUGAGCUGUACCAUCUUGGAAAAAUACGUAAGCCUCUUCAGCUAUACAAAUGGGGAAAAUAAAACCAAGCUCACAGGAUUGCUGUGAAUAUCCUAAGAGAUAAUGAAGAAGACAUUACUUAGCAGUUUCUACCAUGUGGGAAGUCACAGAUAUGCCCCUCAAGUUUCUCUUACCAGAAAGUUUCCUCUUUUCCACUCCUUCCCUCCUUAUUACCCCAGGCCUCCUCUUAUAUGCCCAAAGUAAGCCAUGCCUGAGAAUUUGUCCCCCUCCUGACAUGAAAUACUAGAGUAAAAAGUGCAGGGCCUCCUUGAUAUUUGUGGCUUGCACCGAUGGUUAUAGAGAUCUUGCAUGCAUUUUUAACCUGUGUCUAUUCAAUUUCCAGGAUCCCUUGGUGGUGACUAUCUUGCUGAAUUCCUGAGUAUUGCUGCUCUAAAUCACUGAUAUGUCAGUGACACUCAUUCCUGAGCUUUUGCAAAAUGACCUUCCAGCAUACAGAAAUAAAAUGUUAGAACUUUGAU